UACGGAGGGUGCGAGCGUUGUCCGGAAUCACUGGGCGUAAAGGGCGCGUAGGCGGCCUGAUAAGUCGGGGGUGAAAUCCUGCGGCUUAACCGCAGGGCUGCCUUCUAAACUGUCAGGCUUGAGCACAGUAGAGGCAGGUGGAAUUCCCGGUGUAGCAGUGAAAUGCGUAGAUAUCGAGAGGAACACCAGUGGCGAAGGCGAGUCCCUGGAAAACACCUGACACUGAGGCACGAAAGCUAGGGGAGCAAACAGG
rnacentral:rRNA from 1 species